UACGUAGGGGGGCAAGCGUUGUCCGGAUUUAUUGGGCGUAAAGAGCGUGUAGGCGGCCAUGUAGGUCCGUUGUGAAAACUCGAGGCUCAACCUCGAGACGCCGAUGGAAACCAUGUGGCUAGAGUCCGGAAGAGGAGACUGGAAUUCCUGGUGUAGCGGUGAAAUGCGCAGAUAAUCAGGAGGAACACCGGUGGCGAAGGCGGGUCUCUGGG
rnacentral:rRNA from 1 species